rnacentral:ncRNA from 1 species
GGAGCCAGCCGCCUAAGGUGGGACAGAUGGACAGAUGAUUGGGGUGAAGUCGUAACAAGGUAGCCGUAUCGGAAGGUGCGGCUGGAUCACCUCCUUU